rnacentral:rRNA from 1 species
GAUGAACGCUGGCGGCGUGCUUAACACAUGCAAGUCGAACGAGAAGUGAAGACGGAACCCUUCGGGCGGAAGGCUUUAUUUCGAGUGGCGGACGGGUGAGUAACGCGUGGGUAACCUGCCUCAUACAGGGGGAUAACAGUUGGAAACGACUGUUAAUACCGCAUAAGACCACAGCACCGCAUGGUGCGGGGGUAAAAACUCCGGUGGUAUGAGAUGGACCCGCGUUCGAUUAGCCAGUUGGCGGGGUAACGGCCCACCAAAGCGACGAUCGAUAGCCGAUCUGAGAGGAUGACCGGCCACAUUGGGACUGAGACACGGCCCAAACUCCUACGGGAGGCAGCAGUGGGGAAUAUUGCACAAUGGGGGAAACCCUGAUGCAGCGACGCCGCGUGAGUGAAGAAGUAUUUCGGUAUGUAAAGCUCUAUCAGCGGGGAAGAAAAUGACGGUACCUGAGGAAGAAGCCCCGGCUAACUACGUG